CCUAAAAUUCAAACUGAAUCCCCAAAUGCAACGAAUCUGAAACGCAUCUCUCUUCCUCUCUUAUCGUUUCGAAAGAAACUUCUGCCUCUCUCGAUCAUGUUGUUUCAAUCGCAAAAAAUAAAUCACAGAUAUCCAAUACUCUAUCCCAACCCGAACCCCAAGCAGCAAACAUUCGAUAUUAUCAGAAAUCGAAGCACACGCGAGUUGCAGUAUGAUUCGGUCUUCAACAAAGAAGAAGAAUCACCAUGAAAUUUUGAAGAGAAUCAGCAAGCAUUCUGCUCUACCAAAAUCCAGUCUCCAUAACAAUCCGGUGAAAUUUAGCGUAUGAGCGCUUUCACGAUUGUGUUCGGGUCAUCCGUGGAUUUCAAUUGGAAAAACGAAAUACGGACAAAAACCGAAACCUCGGCGUUAUGGAGUUCUGGCUUGAAGCUAGCGUCUCUAUAAGCUUUCAUCGGUGGUUAAAGCAAAUGCUUAAGCAGGGCAUCAGAAAGAAACAAAAAUCAACAACAUAAGGACCAAACGAAGUUACAUAUUUUAUAUUAGUGAAGCAGUAAAGUUUUUCAGGGCUAUUUCAUGGAAGGUGAUGCAAGGAUGUUGAAAGCAUUGGUUAGAAGUUUGACAAUCGAAGAAUGCUCGAAGACUAUCAAAAAAGCUAUAUAAAAAAAUAAUGAUUGGAAUCAAAUUUAUGUAACUUGUAGUUUUUGGUUUAGGCUUUUAGAACUUUGCAUUUGAAAGAUAAAUAUUCUCUGUAAUUUAAAGAAAUUCUCUUGUAAAUUCACUUCCAACACUAAAGAAACAUCCUUAUGAAUUUCUUCCUUUGAAUUCUUGAAUCAAACAUUCGCUAUUCUUUUGCAAACUUGGCACUUAAUCUUGCAUUCUCAAUGCAAAGAAACACAACUUCACCCGAAACCAAUGAACAUAACCAAAUGAUUCUUGAAUGGAUGAUUGAAUCAAAGUCCUGAUGAAUGAGGCCCUAACCUUAAAAGAGGUGUUUAGGUCCAAGUCAUUGACUAAAUGACUUCCAAGGGAAGUGGAACGUCCCAAUCAAAUAAAGAACAAGGACCUAAGUCAACCAAAAUUUCAUGAUCUUAUGCAGAAACCUUAAUUUUGUACAAAAGUCUAUUAUUUGAACUCAUGCCUUAGUGAGUGAAUGAAUGAUAUGCAAAUGACUUAGUGGAAUGAAA